rnacentral:lncRNA from 1 species
CAAAUGAAACAAUAAAACGGAGGAUGUCUAUAUUCCGGGCAAAAUUUAGCUCUUCUCUGGUGGUUACAAAGGCAGCUUAGAGCCGUGGAAUAAAAAAAGCUAGGUCCCAUUCCGCAUCCUGACCAUUAACUGGAAAACAUUCGAGCAAGUCAGGCGCCUGCUGGAUCUCAGUUAAGUUCUCCGCCUGCAGAUAGGGAAAAAUACCCUUGUUCUCCCCAACUCCAAGGCUAUUGUAAAGUCAAGUGAGAGGGUGCAUGGACGUGUCUUGUGCUGAUAAAGUGCUACAUUUUGGGGGGCCACACCCAUGGCAUGGGGAAGUUCCUGGGCCAGGGAUCAAACCCGUGCCACAGCAGUGACCUGAGCCACAACAGUGACAACACUGAAUCUUUAACCACUGGGCCACAAGGGAACUCUGAUUGAUAGACUGCUGUUUUCAGUUGAUGGGGAUUUUUGUUGUUGUUUGGUUUUACCAAUUAGCUUCUUUUUAUGUACCUCACCGUGUUAACAGUUAUGCUCUCCAAAUCAGCAAUAAAUGAGGCCAACCGAAUUUGACCUGUGGCAUCUCCUUGUAAUGGUUCCUCUUUCUGUUUAAUGUUUUAGAUGCAAUAAACAUAGCGAUGAGAUGACAAUACCUGCAUUUUCUCCUCCUUGGUGUAAAGUAUUAGGCAGAGACAAAACCCUCACAUACGUGAACCCCAUGAACGUGUUGUUUUUGCUCCAAGUCUAAAUGUGGUCUAAAGAAAACAAUGAGGGUAAUUUCUCUGUGUUUUUACUUUCUAUAUUACUGAGGUAGGCAGUAAAAACCAUAGUAUCUAACAUAUAUUACUGAGGUAGGCAGAAUAAUGCCCCCAAAGAUGUCCACAUCUUUUUUUUUUUUGUAUUUUUUUUAGGGCCACAUCCACAGCAUAUGGCGGUUCCCAGGCUAGGGGUCCAGUCGGAGCUGUAGCCACCGACCUGCGCCAGAGCCACAGCAAAGCAGGGUCUGCACCUUGUCUUCAACCUACAGCACAGCUCACAGCAACACUGGAUUAACCCACUGAGCGAGGCCAGGGAUCAAACCCACAUCCUCAUGGAUACUGGUUGGGUUCAAUUAGUAUCUAACUAACCCAUGAGCUACAAGAACUCUUCUUUAAAUCACACCCGUAAUACAACAAUCACAGCUCAAAUUUAAUGAUAAUUCCGUAAUAUCAUCAAAUACUCAUUACAGGUUCGUAUUUCCCCGAUUAUCUCAGAAAUGUUUUAUUUCAUUUUGUUUUGUUUUGCUUUUUAGGGCUGUCCCUACGGCUUAUGGAAGUUCCCAGGCUAGGGGUCAAAUCGGAGCUGCAGCUGCAGGCUUACACCACAGCCACAGCAACUCGGGAUGCUUAACCCACUGAGUGGAGCCAGGCAUCGAACCUGCAUCCCCGUGGAUACCAGUUGGGUUCGUUACUGCUGAGCCACACCAGGCACGCCUCAGAAAUGUUUUAUUAGGGUUUAUGUGGUUGAAUCAGAAAACAAAAAGUCAUAAGGUGUAACUGGUCAGAUGCUGCUUCUUUUGCUCUUCAUCUGUUAUACCCUCCCCCACGCUAUCUUUUUCCUGACAAUGUAUUAUUUCAGGAUUCAUUGGAUACUAGAGGCAGGACAAUGUAUUCCUGUCUCAAUGCAUGAGACACACAAGCGGUCAGAUUGUGUGACUCAUGGAGCUUCUCCCCAUCUGGGACUUUACCAUGUGCUGUGUCAUCACACGGGUUCUUCCCUCCCCAUGUUUCCUGCCCGCCGGCAGGUAGAUGAAGAGGUGGAAUCCCGUUCCAGUUUGCUGCGUUGUGUUUUGCAAGAACCCUUCACCGGCGGGAUUGUUCAGUUCUAUCAGAAAAUCCACAGCAUUUAUAACGACUGGGAGUUUGGGGGUGGUAGGUGCACAUUAUUGCCUUUAGAAUGGGUAAGCCAUGAGGGCUACUGUACAGCACAGGGGACUCUGUCCACUCUCUUGAGGUAGAGAUAGACCAUGAUGGAAGAUAGUAU